UUAAGCGACUAAGCGUACACGGUGGAUGCCCUGGCAGUCAGAGGCGAUGAAGGGCGUGCUAAUCUGCGAUAAGCGCCGGUAAGGUGAUAUGAACCGUUAUAACCGGCGAUACCCGAAUGGGGAAACCCAGUGUGAUUCGUCACACUAUCAUUAACUGAAUCCAUAGGUUAAUGAGGCGAACCGGGGGAACUGAAACAUCUAAGUACCCCGAGGAAAAGAAAUCAACCGAGAUUCCCCCAGUAGCGGCGAGCGAACGGGGAGGAGCCCAGAGCCUGAAUCAGCAUGUGUGUUAGUGGAAGCGUCUGGAAAGGCGCGCGAUACAGGGUGACAGCCCCGUACACAAAAGCGCAUGUGCUGUGAGCUCGAUGAGUAGGGCGGGACACGUGGUAUCCUGUCUGAAUAUGGGGGGACCAUCCUCCAAGGCUAAAUACUCCUGACUGACCGAUAGUGAACCAGUACCGUGAGGGAAAGGCGAAAAGAACCCCGGCGAGGGGAGUGAAAAAGAACCUGAAACCGUGUACGUACAAGCAGUGGGAGCACCCUUUGGGUGUGACUGCGUACCUUUUGUAUAAUGGGUCAGCGACUUAUAUUCUGUAGCAAGGUUAACCGAAUAGGGGAGCCGGAGGGAAACCGAGUCUUAACCGGGCGUUAAGUUGCAGGGUAUAGACCCGAAACCCGGUGAUCUAGCCAUGGGCAGGUUGAAGGUUGGGUAACACUAACUGGAGGACCGAACCGACUAAUGUUGAAAAAUUAGCGGAUGACCUGUGGCUGGGGGUGAAAGGCCAAUCAAACCGGGAGAUAGCUGGUUCUCCCCGAAAGCUAUUUAGGUAGCGCCUCGUGAAUUCAUCUCCGGGGGUAGAGCACUGUUUCGGCUAGGGGGCCAUCCCGGCUUACCAACCCGAUGCAAACUGCGAAUACCGGAGAAUGUUAUCACGGGAGACACACGGCGGGUGCUAACGUCCGUCGUGAAGAGGGAAACAACCCAGACCGCCAGCUAAGGUCCCAAAGUCAUGGUUAAGUGGGAAACGAUGUGGGAAGGCCCAGACAGCCAGGAUGUUGGCUUAGAAGCAGCCAUCAUUUAAAGAAAGCGUAAUAGCUCACUGGUCGAGUCGGCCUGCGCGGAAGAUGUAACGGGGCUAAACCAUGCACCGAAGCUGCGGCAGCGACGCUGAUGCGUUGUUGGGUAGGGGAGCGUUCUGUAAGCCUGCGAAGGUGGCCUGUGAGGGUUGCUGGAGGUAUCAGAAGUGCGAAUGCUGACAUAAGUAACGAUAAAGCGGGUGAAAAGCCCGCUCGCCGGAAGACCAAGGGUUCCUGUCCAACGUUAAUCGGGGCAGGGUGAGUCGACCCCUAAGGCGAGGCCGAAAGGCGUAGUCGAUGGGAAACGGGUUAAUAUUCCCGUACUUGGUGUUACUGCGAAGGGGGGACGGAGAAGGCUAUGUUGGCCGGGCGACGGUUGUCCCGGUUUAAGCGUGUAGGCUGGUUUUCCAGGCAAAUCCGGAAAAUCAAGGCUGAGGCGUGAUGACGAGGCACUACGGUGCUGAAGCAACAAAUGCCCUGCUUCCAGGAAAAGCCUCUAAGCAUCAGGUAACAUCAAAUCGUACCCCAAACCGACACAGGUGGUCAGGUAGAGAAUACCAAGGCGCUUGAGAGAACUCGGGUGAAGGAACUAGGCAAAAUGGUGCCGUAACUUCGGGAGAAGGCACGCUGACACGUAGGUGAAGUGAUUUACUCAUGGAGCUGAAGUCAGUCGAAGAUACCAGCUGGCUGCAACUGUUUAUUAAAAACACAGCACUGUGCAAACACGAAAGUGGACGUAUACGGUGUGACGCCUGCCCGGUGCCGGAAGGUUAAUUGAUGGGGUCAGCGCAAGCGAAGCUCCUGAUCGAAGCCCCGGUAAACGGCGGCCGUAACUAUAACGGUCCUAAGGUAGCGAAAUUCCUUGUCGGGUAAGUUCCGACCUGCACGAAUGGCGUAAUGAUGGCCAGGCUGUCUCCACCCGAGACUCAGUGAAAUUGAACUCGCUGUGAAGAUGCAGUGUACCCGCGGCAAGACGGAAAGACCCCGUGAACCUUUACUAUAGCUUGACACUGAACAUUGAGCCUUGAUGUGUAGGAUAGGUGGGAGGCUUUGAAGUGUGGACGCCAGUCUGCAUGGAGCCGACCUUGAAAUACCACCCUUUAAUGUUUGAUGUUCUAACGUGGACCCGUUACCCGGGUUGCGGACAGUGUCUGGUGGGUAGUUUGACUGGGGCGGUCUCCUCCUAAAGAGUAACGGAGGAGCACGAAGGUUGGCUAAUCCUGGUCGGACAUCAGGAGGUUAGUGCAAUGGCAUAAGCCAGCUUGACUGCGAGCGUGACGGCGCGAGCAGGUGCGAAAGCAGGUCAUAGUGAUCCGGUGGUUCUGAAUGGAAGGGCCAUCGCUCAACGGAUAAAAGGUACUCCGGGGAUAACAGGCUGAUACCGCCCAAGAGUUCAUAUCGACGGCGGUGUUUGGCACCUCGAUGUCGGCUCAUCACAUCCUGGGGCUGAAGUAGGUCCCAAGGGUAUGGCUGUUCGCCAUUUAAAGUGGUACGCGAGCUGGGUUUAGAACGUCGUGAGACAGUUCGGUCCCUAUCUGCCGUGGGCGCUGGAGAACUGAGGGGGGCUGCUCCUAGUACGAGAGGACCGGAGUGGACGCAUCACUGGUGUUCGGGUUGUCAUGCCAAUGGCACUGCCCGGUAGCUAAAUGCGGAAGAGAUAAGUGCUGAAAGCAUCUAAGCACGAAACUUGCCCCGAGAUGAGUUCUCCCUGAGACUUAAAGUCUCCUGAAGGAACGUUGAAGACGACGACGUUGAUAGGCCGGGUGUGUAAGCGCAGCGAUGCGUUGAGCUAACCGGUACUAAUGAACCGUGAGGCUUAACCUU
rnacentral:rRNA from 1 species